rnacentral:rRNA from 1 species
GACGAACGCUGGCGGCAUGCCUAAUACAUGCAAGUCGAGCGAACAGAUGAAGUGCUUGCACUUCUGACGUUAGCGGCGAACGGGUGAGUAACACGUAAGGAAUCUACCUAUAAGCGGGGAUAACAUUCGGAAACGGGUGCUAAUACCGCAUAAUAUCUUCUUCCGCAUGGAAGAAGAUUGAAAGACGGCUCUGCUGUCACUUAUAGAUGACCUUGCGGUGCAUUAGUUAGUUGGUGGGGUAACGGCCUACCAAGACGAUGAUGCAUAGCCGACCUGAGAGGGUGAUCCGCCACAUUGGGACUGAGACACGGCCCAAACUCCUACGGGAGGCAGCAGUAGGGAAUCUUCCGCAAUGGGCGAAAGCCUGACGGAGCAAUGCCGCGUGAGUGAAGAAGGCCUUCGGGUCGUAAAACUCUGUUAUAAGAGAAGAACAAAUUGUAGAGUAACUGCUACAGUCUUGACAGUAUCUUAUCAGAAAGCCACGGCUAACUACGUGCCAGCAGCCGCCGUAA